GAGCGGCGCGCUUACGGACUUGCGCACGGCCUUUGUUUACAAAUACAGGACAUGAUAGUGAAGCAAUGAAUCAGAAGGUCCCGGAGGCACAGACACAAUGGAUGAAAGGGGAUUUCACAGAGCUUGACUAUAUCUUAACAGUGCAGUCUGUUUGAGAAUGCGUAGUGAGGUUGAGGGCGGAAAGACUAUAAUGCCUAUGACGUGUUAGAGCGCACAGGCGCAGUUGGUGUGUUUGCAUGUGAUUGCAAGUCAGAGGACUGAAAGAAAAAAAGAACGUAAGAAGAUCAGGCAAACUCCAAGUAUCUUCCUCUGACACAUGACAAAGCAUAAAACCAGAGAGGAAAGGGUUACAGAACAGAGAGUACUGAUUGGCUGACUGCACAGGCUUGCUCCUGUGAGGGAGACAGACUGACACGCCCCCUCCAGCCUGCACAAUGAAAAAGUACGCUUUAAUUUAAAAAAAAAUUUGGAGAACAAUGGAGAAUUUCGCUCUGGAGGACACAAGGAAAAUGAACACUUAUUACCGAGUUUCCCUACAGACUUUUAAAAACAAAUGCCCCUUUCAUAACCAAUAUUAGAAUUUUGAGCAGACAUCUACACCCCUUAGAGUUCUGGAUAUGAAGACACAUUACAACACUUACAUCUCAGCCACCGUGCUCCAGCAUCAGUAUCUUUCUCUAAAAUGCUUCUUCUUUGGGUGUAACUCCCGAAAAUGUACCAAAGCAUCCACCCCAACUGAAUGAGCAUCAGCGUGAUCAGAUAGGACAGGAGGUCUCUGUCCG